rnacentral:rRNA from 1 species
GACGAACGCUGGCGGCGUGCUUAACACAUGCAAGUCGAACGCGCCUGUCCUCUGGGUCUCUGGGGGGUGGGUGAGUGGCGAACGGGUGAGUAACACGUGAGUAACCUGCCCCCUUCUUCGGGAUAACGGUCUGAAAGGGCUGCUAAUACCGGGUAUUCACUGGUCUCCGCAUGGGGUCUGGUGGAAAGGUUUUUUUCUGGUGGGGGAUGGGCUCGCGGCCUAUCAGCUUGUUGGUGGGGUGAUGGCCCACCAAGGCUUUGACGGGUAGCCGGCCUGAGAGGGUGACCGGUCACAUUGGGACUGAGAUACGGCCCAGACUCCUACGGGAGGCAGCAGUGGGGAAUAUUGCACAAUGGGCGCAAGCCUGAUGCAGCGACGCCGCGUGAGGGAUGGAGGCCUUCGGGUUGUGAACCUCUUUCGCCCGUGGUCAAGCCGCGACGUGGGUCGUGGUGAGGGUAGUGGGUAAAGAAGCGCCGGCUAACUACGUG